rnacentral:rRNA from 1 species
AGUGAACGCUGGCGGUAGGCCUAACACAUGCAAGUCGAACGGCAGCACAGUAAGAGCUUGCUCUUACGGGUGGCGAGUGGCGGACGGGUGAGGAAUACAUCGGAAUCUACUUUUUCGUGGGGGAUAACGUAGGGAAACUUACGCUAAUACCGCAUACGACCUACGGGUGAAAGCAGGGGAUCUUCGUACCUUGCGCGAUUGAAUGAGCCGAUGUCGGAUUAGCUAGUUGGCGGGGUAAAGGCCCACCAAGGCGACGAUCCGUAGCUGGUCUGAGAGGAUGAUCAGCCACACUAGAACUGAGACACGGUCCAGACUCCUAAGGGAGGCAGCAGUGGGGAAUAUUGGACAAUAGGCGCAAGCCUGACCCAGCCAUACCGCGUGGGUGAAGAAGGCCUUCGGGUUGUAAAGCCAUUUUGUUGGGAAAAAAAAGCAGCAGGUUAAUACCCCGCUGUUCUGACGGUACCCAAAGAAUAAGCACCGGAUAACUUCGUG